UGGUAGUCCAUGCCGUAAACGAUGUCUACUAGCCGUUGGGGCCUUUGAGGCUUUAGUGGCGCAGCUAACGCGAUAAGUAGACCGCCUGGGGAGUACGGUCGCAAGACUAAAACUCAAAUGAAUUGACGGGGGCCCGCACAAGCGGUGGAGCAUGUGGUUUAAUUCGAUGCAACGCGAAGAACCUUACCUGGCCUUGACAUACUAGAAACUUUCCAGAGAUGGAUUGGUGCCUUCGGGAAUCUAGAUAC
rnacentral:rRNA from 1 species